rnacentral:rRNA from 1 species
CAAUAGCGUAUAUUAAAGUUGUUGCGGUUAAAAGCUCGUAGUUGGAUUUCUGUUGAGAGCAGCCGGUCCACCUCUUGGGUGAGUAUCUGGAUUGAUCUCGGCAUCCUCUCGGAAAACGUUUCUGCGCUUGAUUGCGUGGUGCGGAGUUCGAGACUUUUACUUUGAGGAAAUUAGAGUGUUCACGGCAGGCAUACGCCUUGAAUAUAUUAGCAUGGAAUAAUAAUAUAGGAUCUUGGUUCUAUUUUGUUGGUUUCUAGAGCUAAGAUAAUGAUUAAUAGGGACAAUUGGGGGCAUUCGUAUUAACGCGUCAGAGGUGAAAUUCUUGGAUUGCGUUACGACGAACUACUGCGAAAGCAUUUGCCAAGGAUGUUUUCAUUGAUCAAGAACGAAAGUAAGGGAUCGAAGAUGAUCAGAUACCAU